AGUGAACGCUGGCGGCAGGCCUAAUACAUGCAAGUCGAACGGCAGCACAGCAGAGCUUGCUCUGUGGGUGGCGAGUGGCGGACGGGUGAGGAAUACCUGGGAAUCUGCCCAGUCGUGGGGGAUAACGUAGGGAAACUUACGCUAAUACCGCAUGCGCCCUUCGGGGGAAAGCCGGGGACCUUCGGGCCUGGCGCGAUUGGAUGAGCCCAUGUCGGAUUAGCUAGUUGGCGGGGUAAAGGCCCACCAAGGCGACGAUCCGUAGCUGGUCUGAGAGGAUGAUCCGCCACACUGGAACUGAGACACGGUCCAGACUCCUACGGGAGGCAGCAGUAGGGAAUAUUGGACAAUGGGCGCAAGCCUGAUCCAGCCAUGCCGCGUGAGUGAAGAAGGCCUUCGGGUUGUAAAGCUCUUUUGUCCGGAAAGAAAAGCAUCCAGUUAAUACCUGGGUGUCCUGACGGUACCGGAAGAAUAAGCACCGGCUAACUUCGUGCCAGCAGCCGCCGUAAAAC
rnacentral:rRNA from 1 species